rnacentral:rRNA from 1 species
AGAACGAACGCUGGCGGCAUGCCUAACACAUGCAAGUCGAACGCUUUUGGGGCUUCGGUCCCAAAGGAGUGGCGCACGGGUGAGUAGCGCGUGGGAACCUGCCCUGGAGUGGGGGAUAACCGAGGGAAACUUCGGCUAAUACCGCAUACGCCGGGAAACCGGGAAAGAUUUAUCGCUCUAGGAGGGGCCCGCGUCGGAUUAGGUAGUUGGUGGGGUAACGGCCUACCAAGCCUGUGAUCCGUAGCUGGUCUGAGAGGAUGAUCAGCCACACUGGGACUGAGACACGGCCCAGACUCCUACGGGAGGCAGCAGUGGGGAAUAUUGGACAAUGGGCGCAAGCCUGAUCCAGCAAUGCCGCGUGAGUGAUGAAGGCCUUCGGGUUGUAAAGGCUCUUUCGUCACGCGAGGAUGAUGACGCUAGCGUGAGAAGAAGCCCGGCUAACGUUCGUGCCAGCAGCCGC